AUGAUCCCAAAGACUGGUUCCCCAGAAAAGGAGAUAAUGCUAAAAUUGGGUUUCAAAGAAAAGUGGGUAGAUUUAGUUAUGCAAUGUGUAUCUUCUGUGAAGUACCGGGUUCGUUUUAAUAAUGAAGAGACUGAGAGUUUUAAACCUACUAGAGAGGGGCUGACCGCUCUACUAGCUAAUGCAGAGGAGAAUGAUAAUAUUUCUGGAGUUAAGGGGGUUCGGCCGGCCCGUCUCGUCCGCCUCCGGGGGAGCGAUCGGUCGGGAUCAGGAUCCCGUCGAGCUGUUCGGUUUUACUUUCCGCGUCUGGUUUCGGGUGAUCCUCCGUUGGCCAUAGCAAGGUCAGUUUCCUCUCUGCGUUCGUCGGUGAUUUCAGAUUCGAAUCGAAUUGAAUUGAGCGUCUAUCGCCCGUACGGCCUUCUGCCUCUGUGUUCCCCGAUCAAGCGCUCUCGUCACCAGUUAAUACGAUUACGAGGUGGAUUCCAGGGCCUCGUGGAUUCUUGUUGUGCCGCUGAUCUAGCUUUCGGUGUAUGCGCUCUCAUCCUAGAUGCAACCAAGUGGGCGAGCGCUAGUUGUGGGGAGAUGAUAUUGGAUAUAGAUCAAGGGUGGAGGUUUUUUGCUUCUGCCCUCCAUGUCCUUGCAGAUUUGUUUUGGCCUAAGACAAUGCUGCUAGAAGUCUGGCCCUACAUGCAGACCUGUUAUUCGUGUGUUGGCUUCCAUGGGUUGGCUGCAGGACUGGAUCUAGUAUGUGGAGACCCCUGGGGUGUUGUAUGUCAAGGGGAUGUGAGUCAGAUGCAGCAGAAGCAAGAGGGUAGUGGUUCCGCAGAGAUGUGGAGGUUUGGUUUCUUACACAUGGCAAUAUUUUAUAAUACAGAUUCAUAUGCAAAGGUGCAUGAAUCUAAGGAUAAUCCGAAGCUUUCGACUAAUGGCGCAUCCUACAACCGAGAAAGACUCUUGCCUAGGUUUUUGCUCCUGCCCUUCCUGUGGAUGCAGAUCUUUUUUAGCCCAGAGCAUGUGGGUAAUGACGCGGAGUCUGUUCUAAUAUUUUGUCUAGAUGGGACAUCCUACAACCUAAAAUACUUGGUGCACUCCACAACCGAAAAUUAUCUUAUGCUGAGUUAUCUCCUGAAGAAACUACUGUUGUCUUGGCUGCCUUUGCUUGUAGCAUUGAUCAAGCCAUGCUGUAUAUCUUGGUGGGUGUGCCCUGUAGAGUCAGAUACAAGACAGCGGAGAUCGUAUUGAAGGGUAAAGGUUUGGGUGAUUCAUGGAUGUUCUUUAGCUCUUCUGAUUAUAUCUUAAGUUUGGGAUUGGAAUUGUUGGUCAUGCCUGCAUGGUUGAGGAUUCAUAAGUGUCUUGAGGCGUGACUGGACUGUUUAGAUAUAUUCUCCUCUGAUUUCUCCAUGUGAGCAGUUUGGUUUCUGUUCUGAGUAUUAUUUGGAUUUUUUGUUGUUCUCCAGCAUUUGAGCGUAGACUUGACCAUUUUUAUUGGAAUGGUGCAGAGCUCUAGGAGAUUCUUCGUGAUUCGAUCUUGUCAAACUUCUCUCUGUUAACUUUUAACAUUCCAAACAUUGUUCUUUCUUGUCAGUAACUCUUAGUUCUAUGCAGAUAUGACAUACAAUGAGGAUAAUCAAACCAAUGUGCAUAACUUCACUAAACCAGGCUUAUCCCCGUCUCCCUUGCUAUAUUUGAUGUGAACAGCUUUCUCCAAAAUGGUUAGGCAUCAUGGUCUUUUGUUCAUUGCAGGUGUACUUCACAAUCUUACAGAAGAAGUCUGAUGUCAUGCUGCGUGAAAAUUUGUUUGGAGACCUUCUGACUUCACAUUUUCUAUUUAGUUAGCUAGAAACCCAGUUAGCUGUUAAGUUUGGUAUUCAAACUGAUCCGCGGAGGUGAAGAGUUCUAAAAGCUUGUUUGGGGAACUUCGUUCUGGAUAGAGGAGUCUUCUACAACCACAAACUUAUACCUAUGCUGCAUCCUUGUUUCGACUCAUUGUCCAGUUCUAAUUAUGGUCUAACUUUCCUUGAAGAAACUUCUAAGUAUGCCAAUUAUAUUUGGUCUGUUCAUUAAUCGGCACUGUUGGAGGUUUUAUUGGAAUAUUGUAGAGUUGGAAAGUCUAGCAAAACGUCAGUUGGUGUGGGGACUUAGUGAAGCCCGGGCGGUUUUAACUUCUGAUUAAUCCUGAUCCUGAAGCAUAUUACUUGAUUUGGUAUUUGUGGCAGCUUUCAGUUUGAACUUGCAUUCAGUGAUAGUUUGGAGUUAGUAGUGUGCACAUCUGAUUCUGCCAACUGUCCUGAAGCAUCUUAUCAUGACAUCCUACUGGUUACAACAUCUGCUUCAGCUUGCAUGUGGUUUGGAAUAUGAUCUCAGCUUUUUCUCCGAAUCAACAAAAUGCUAGAAGUAAUGAUGUCCUAACUGGAAGUUCCUUUAGUCUCAAACAAGGGUUCAACAAUGGAAAUACCAGUUCAUAGCAGAUUAUCAAACUUUGAUUUGGCUAUAGAUUACUACUUGGUUGACAUACUAUUUCCAGAAGUUGGGUUUUAAUAUUAGGCUGGUUGUAUCUAUAAUUUUAUCUCUAGCAGUAAUAUUUUUAGCUUGCAAAUUUAUAUCACCUAAUACAUGUACAUGAGCUCUGAAUGCAGUAAAAGAUUUGUCAGUCUACUAUUCUACAUUUUCUUGUCCGCACUUGGUUUGUUCAUUUAACUAUUUUCCUGGUGAGUUAUUUAGGAUCAUCUUAUGUCACACAAUCAGUUUCUGAUUUGCACAGAUCUUUAACUAAAAUGAUAAAGAAAGAUCCCAUCUAGUUGUUUGCUGGCUCUCUCAAUUGACUUGUGGUUGGGUAACUUUGAUGUCUUGAUAUGCAGAAAGAGGCUAAGGAAUUAUUGCCAUAUACUAAAACAAUGGAGAGUUGAAGCUUCUGAACUGGAAGCUUGAACAAAUAGUUUGCCCUGAACACUCUACUCGUGAUGUCUUAGAUUACUGUCAUCUCCACUAAUUAUGAUUCCGGUUUGGUGGUAUAGAAUUGAUUUUCAGAAAAUGAUGUUCUUCUCAUUGGUGCUUCUCCAGUGGGAUCUGGAUUACAUAUCUUGAAUUCAAUACAUCUUCUCGGUUUGCUGGAGAACUCCUAGUUUUAAUUUGACAACUAGCAAAACAGUCUGGCUAAUUUGAUGAUUCCUGCUGAUUGUACUUUUAACUCAAGUUGCUCUUAUUCCUGGAUUGAAGAAAAAAGGCGUUCGCACAUCUUAACGUUUUCUAAUGGCUAAUUUGAUCUGGUUUAUGGGAUCUUUAAUUACAUGAUCUCGGUUUUCCGGGAGCUCCCUAAUUUCAAUUUCCUUGGCAACUAGCAAAAUUACUAAUUUGACGAUUCCUGCCAAUUGCAUAUCUGACUCCGGCUAUACAUAUGCCACACAGUAUGCAUAGUCCAUGCGUCCUGGAUUUUCA
rnacentral:rRNA from 1 species